rnacentral:tRNA from 1 species
GCCCACGUAGCUCAGCCGGUAGAGCACUUGCAUGGUAAGCAAGCGGUCAGCAGUUCAAAUCUGCUCGUGGGCUCCA